AUUGAACGCUGGCGGCAGGCCUAACACAUGCAAGUCGAACGAGUGGCGCACGGGUGAGUAAUACAUCGGAACGUGUCCUAUCGUGGGGGAUAACUGAUCGAAAGAUCAGCUAAUACCGCAUACGAUGGGAGCGGCCGAUGCACGGUUGGCGAGUUGGUGAGGUAAAGGCUCACCAAGGCGACGAACGGGAGCGGGCCUGAGAGGACGACCAGCCAAACUGGGCCUGAGACACGGCCCAUACUCCUACGGGAGGCAGCAGUGGGGAAUUUUGGACAAUGGGGGCAACCCUGAGCCAGCCAUGCCGCGUGCAGGAGGAAGGUCUUCGGAUUGUAAACUGCUUUUGUCAGGGAAGCGGUACCUGAAGAAUAAGCACCGGCUAACUACGUGCCAGCAGCCGCGGUAAUAC
rnacentral:rRNA from 1 species